rnacentral:lncRNA from 1 species
GUUUAAUACGUUUUCUUUUAUACAUUUAAAUAAUUAUGAAUUAAUUAAUUGUGACUUUUUGACUGAGGCUUGUUACUCUAAGUCCUAUGGCUUUUUUUUGUUUUUCAACACAUAUUGUCAACAAUCAACAAACAUAAAUAUGAUUAGUCAAUUCCAGUUUAUAUAUUCAUCUUAAUUUAAAGUACAAUUAUUUGCAACAAUGAAGUAUUACAGGGUUCAUACACCUUUUUAGUUCCAUUUUUCCAUGACUUUUCCAUGACUUUUCAAGGAUGUUUUAUGAAAUUUCCAUACCCCAAAACUAUAGACCAAAAAGGUCAUCCCUAAUGCUAUAAACAUGCUUUUGUGUCCUUUCCAUGCAACUAAAUAAACAAUCUUUUUAACAUCCAAUAAUGACACAAUUGCACUGAAACACAAUGAGAAAUACCAACAUAUUUAUGAAUGACAAUACUGAGUUA